CUGCGUUGAGCUGGGGGAUGCAGGGCUGCAGCCCCUCCUCCCUCGCUGCUGGGGCUCUGACCGCGGCCCUCUCCUUCCCCUCUGCAGCUCCACAGUGCAUCUCCUUCGUGUGGCUGACGCUGGCCGGCCUGCACAGUGUGGUGGGCUGGGUGAGAGGCGGCCGGACCCUGCGCAUUGCUUGUGCUGUUGUGAAACAAUGGCUGGAAGGAGUCAAGGUUCACUUGUGCUCUGGAAAGCAAUGCCCCUGGCCUGCCAUGGAGAUCGAGCAGAUCUACCAGAAUCUUUCCCAGCUCUUCUGCUCUGUGCUGAGGCACUGGCAGGACUGCAAGGAGGAAAAGGACAAACAGGCCGUCCUCGGGGCUGUGGCUACCAUGAUGG
ensembl:lncRNA